GAGAAUCUAGCUCUAGGUCGGGGACAACAGUUGGAAACGACUGCUAAUACCGGAUGUGCCGGAAGGUGAAAGAUUAAUUGCCUAGAGAUGAGCUCGCGUCUGAUUAGCUAGUAGGUGUGGUAAGAGCGCACCUAGGCGACGAUCAGUAGCUGGUCUGAGAGGAUGAUCAGCCACACUGGGACUGAGACACGGCCCAGACUCCUACGGGAGGCAGCAGUGGGGAAUUUUCCGCAAUGGGCGAAAGCCUGACGGAGCAAUACCGCGUGAGGGAGGAAGGCUCUUGGGUCGUAAACCUCUUUUCUCAGGGAAGAAAAAAAUGACGGUACCUGAGGAAUAAGCAUCGGCUAACUCCGUGCCAGCAGCCGCGGUAAUACGGAGGAUGCAAGCGUUAUCCGGAAUGAUUGGGCGUAAAGCGUCCGCAGGUGGCUAUGUAAGUCUGCUGUUAAAGAAUUACGCUCAACGUAAUCAAAGCAGUGGAAACUACAUGGCUAGAGUGCGUUCGGGGCAGAGGGAAUUCCUGGUGUAGCGGUGAAAUGCGUAGAGAUCAGGAAGAACACCGGUGGCGAAAGCGCUCUGCUAGGCCGCAACUGACACUGAGGGACGAAAGCUAGGGGAGCGAAUGGGAUU
rnacentral:rRNA from 1 species